UGGGGAAUUUUGGACCAUGGGCGCAAGCCUGAUCCAGCAAUGCCGCGUGCAGGAUGAAGGCCUUCGGGUUGUAAACUGCUUUUUUACGGAGCGAAAAGGUCUUCCCUAAUACGGUGGGCUCAUUACGGUACCGUAAGAAUAAGCACCGGCUAACUACGUUCCAGCAGCCGCGGUAAUACGUAGGGUGCGAGCGUUAAUCGGAAUUACUGGGCGUAAAGCGUUCGCAGGCGGUUUUUUAAGACAGAUGUGAAAUCCCCGGGCUCAACCUGGGAACUGCAUUUGUGAAUGGAGAGCUAGAGUAAGGUAGAGGGGGAUGGAAUUCCGCGUGUAGCAGUGAAAUGCGUAGAUAUGCGGAGGAACACCGAUGGCGAAGGCAAUCCCCUGGACCUGUACUGACGCUCAUGCACGAAAGCGUGGGGAGCAAACA
rnacentral:rRNA from 1 species